rnacentral:rRNA from 1 species
AUAGCAUAUCAAUAAGCGGAGGAAAAGAAACCAACAGGGAUUGCCCCAGUAACGGCGAGUGAAGCGGCAACAGCUCAAAUUUGAAAUCUGGCUUCGGCCCGAGUUGUAAUUUGUAGAGGAUGAUUUUGGUGAGGUGCCUUCUGAGUUCCCUGGAACGGGACGCCAGAGAGGGUGAGAGCCCCGUAUAGUCGGCCACCGAUCCUCUGUAAAUCUCCUUCGACGAGUCGAGUAGUUUGGGAAUGCUGCUCAAAAUGGGAGGUAUAUCUCUUCUAAAGCUAAAUAUAGGCCAGAGACCGAUAGCGCACAAGUAGAGUGAUCGAAAGAUGAAAAGCACUUUGAAAAGAGGGUUAAAUAGCACGUGAAAUUGUUGAAAGGGAAGCGCUUGUGACCAGACUUGUGCCGGGCUGAUCAUCCAGUGUUCUCACUGGUGCACUCGACCCGGCUCAGGCCAGCGUCGGUUCUCGUGGGGGGACAAAAGCUUCGGGAACGUAGCACCUUCGGGUGUGUUAUAGCCCGCUGCUUAAUACCCUCGUGGGGACCGAGGUUCGCGCUCUGCAAGGACGCUGGCAUAAUGGUCAUCAGCGACCCGUCUUGAAACACGGACCAAGGAGUCGAGGUUUUGCGCGAGUGUUUGGGUGUAAAACCCGCACGCGUAAUGAAAGUGAACGUAGGUGAGAGCUUCGGCGCAUCAUCGACCGAUCCUGAUGUAUUCGGAUGGAUUUGAGUAAGAGCGUAUAGCCUCGGACCCGAAAGAUGGUGAACUAUGCCUGAAUAGGGUGAAGCCAGAGGAAACUCUGGUGGAGGCUCGCAGCGGUUCUGACGUGCAAAUCGAUCGUCAAAUUUGGGCAUGGGGGCGAAAGACUAAUCGAACCAU